GGGCCGUUUGGCAUCACCGCCUGCACCAUGUUCGGGUGGUGCCGGCAUGACGCCCGGUGGCCUAGAUCUGGUGCAGCUUUUGAGUCGUCCGUAUGACUGCUGAUUGCGGGCGAAUUAGAGCUUGCGACAUAC
rnacentral:snoRNA from 1 species